CAAUAAUUGUUGAUAAACUUUCUAGGAGUAGAUUAUAAGCUACCUCAAAUGUUUCGUUAGUGCUAAUUCACCUGUUAUGUCGUUAUCAGUUAUAUUAUGUUGUUAUACAUUAAGCAAAAUGAUCCUACAUUAAUAUAAUAUGAAAUCACAGCGUAUACUAUUAAGUUUCGUUAAGUACGUAUGCCAAAACAACACAACGCACGCACAGAAAGCAACACAAAGAUUUUCAACCAAAUAUUCCACUUUUGCUCACCAAUAUUUCGUUCUUCAGUCUUUUAAACAUCGAAGAGCUUAAUUAAAGAACCAAAACUAUUACAACAUAGAGGUUUUUGGCUUCAUCAUAACGUCACGCAUCAGCCCAAUGCCGCCAAUGUCCCUCCCUAGGACAUAAAUAACUUGAGCAGAGGAAUUUAUUGGCUUCCUGUGUUUAACACAGGACUCCCGUAAAUAUUUCAUGAUUCUUGCAUUGCUUACAUCUACUCUAGCCGAUAUUCAGGUAACUCUUUGGGAAGUUCACAUACUUAAUUUGCGCUUAAAGUGCGCUUUCCGUUUAGUAAGAAGUGAUUGUCUCUUGCUCUCUCUUACAUAUUUGUGUUUCGAAACCUCAUCCUGGACCUCAUGUGCUCAUAAAUGUCAAUAGAGGAUCGACAAGCCGAUCCUGAUAUCAUCGAUAUCAUGAGGAUACAUCGUUAAACUAAAACAUAGCUUGCAGAAUUCUUUGGUGUCCAAGAUUUUGCCACCCAUACAACUUACUACAACCAUCAUGUCGACGGAUUCAGAACUACAUCAAGAUCCAAAUAAGGAGCAUGUCCACACUGCAAGUGAUGAUUUCAACGACUUUGACCGUCUGUAUUUAAGUCUUGCUGAGAAAGAAGUCGCAGUUCUUUUCAAUGAAGUAUGCAUUGAAAACCAAGUUGGUUCACUUGAAGACUUCAAACAAGUAAUAACAACUAAAAAACGACAACACCAUGUGGUUA